CACGUAGGGGGCGAGCGUUGUCCGGAAUCAUUGGGCGUAAAGAGCUCGUAGGCGGCUCAGUAAGUCGGGUGUGAAACCCCCAGGCUCAACCUGGGGACGCCACCCGAUACUGCUGUGGCUAGAGCCCAGUAGAGGAGUGUGGAAUUCCCGGUGUAGCGGUGAAAUGCGCAGAUAUCGGGAGGAACACCAACGGCGAAGGCAGCACUCUGGGCUGGAACUGACGCUGAGGAGCGAAAGCGUGGGUAGCAAACAGG
rnacentral:rRNA from 1 species